UCAAAGGUGAUUGAUUGACAAUCCUCGUCGUACGGCCCAAUUAAGGUCUGUUUGGAAUCAAAACCAGGCUCAUAAACCCUCCGCAGGCCCAGCACUCUCUCGGAUCUCGAUCCGAAAGCAAAAUGUGGCGAACCAUUUCGACGCCCACCUCAGAGCACCGGGUCUCUUUCCUUCAUCCACGCAAUCUUCCUUCUCACUCAAAGCCCUGCCGAAAAUCCUCACCGUCACCCCCGAGUCUCACACUCUAUACGUCCCCAAAGCCCUCAUCUUCCGCACAAUCGACGCACCCUCCGUCUCCUCGAUCCCCGGCCUGGGAAUCCGCGGACUCGGUUCCAAUUUCGGUUUGAUCGUCGUGCGGUGCAUUUCCUCGGACUCUCCGGCGCCCACAUUGGAUUGGAACGACCCGGUGUCGUGCUCGGAGGUCGGCAACGGAGACAAUGGCAGCGUGGAGGUGGAUACUUAAGCCCUCUAUUCUUGUCAGAGACUAUUUCUUCUUCUCUACUAGUGUGUGAGAAGGUUAAUGGAACAUCAAUUUUAUUCUGCCAACAUCGCGAAAGACUGAUUAGCGUGUUCUUAAGUUCAGCAUCGGGGCUUGGCUUUGUGGUAUGAGACUAAUCAACUGGAAGAGCUUGCCAGGAUGGCUUGGUAAGCAAGCAAGCAGGCGCCAACUCCCAGUUCUUUCUCUUCUCUCUUUUUU